rnacentral:rRNA from 1 species
GACAGAGGGUGCAAACGUUGUUCGGAAUUACUGGGCGUAAAGCGCGUGUAGGCUGCUUCGCAAGUCGGGUGUGAAAGCCCUGGGCUCAACCUAGGAAGUGCACUCGAAACUGCGAAGCUCGAGUCCUGGAGAGGAAGGCGGAGUUCUCGGUGUAGAGGUGAAAUUCGUAGAUAUCGAGAGGAACACCGGUGGCGAAGGCGGCCUUCUGGACAGUGACUGACGCUGAGACGCGAAAGCGUGGGGAGCAAACAGG